rnacentral:pre_miRNA from 13 species
UGCCUAAACAGCUCAGGUACUUAGUGACUCUCAAAGAAUAUAUCUAGACUUGAGAGACGCUCUGUACCUAGACUGUUGUGUCUGC